GGAAGUAAAUAACUUGUUUUGAUCUUACAGUCUUGUAGGUGGAAGGAAGAUGAGUCUCAGAUGAGACUUAGGACUUUGAACUUGAUAUUGGAAUGAGUUACAACUUUAGGGGACUGUUGGGAAGAGAUUAUUGUAUUUGGCAGUGUGAGAGGGACAUAGGAAUUGGGGAUCCAGGGGUGGAUAAGAUGGUUUGGAUAUUUGUCCCCUCCAAGCCUCAUGUUGAAAUGUAAUCUCCAGUAUUGGAGGUAGGGCCUAGUGGGAGGUGUAUGGAUCAUGGAGGCAGAUCCCUCAUGAAUGGCUUAGCACCAUCCUUUUGGUGAUGAGUGAGUUCACACGAGAUCUGUUUUUUUAAAAGUCUGGGACCUUCUCCUCUUGCUUUCUUGCUCCUGCUCCUGAUGCACCUGCUCCACCUUCAUCUUCCACCAUGAUUGUAGGCUCCUGAGGCCCUAACCAGAAGCCAAGCAGAUGCUGGUGCCAGGCCUGUACAGCCAGCAGAACUGUGAGGCAGCCAUAUUGUGACCAUGAGGGAAAGACCAUGAGAACUGAAGGGAAAUGGACUCAGAACCCAGAUAUUGUAAGGCUCCUGGAGAAACCCUGGAAACAUCUACUUCUCAACGUUUUCGCUUGUGAGCUAAUGAAACACCCUAUGGUUAAGCUACUGUGAGUCAGAGUGUCUGUUAUUUACAGCUGAACACAUCCUGAUUCAAGGAGGAAAUAUAUAAAUGUGCAGCAGAUAUGACUUCAUCUCCAAUUUGCUGCCCCUUGAGAGUAUGGCGACCCAAUUUUCCUCUGUUAGGAUAUUCUUUCUCUGCAUCCUCCACAUGCUCCCCUCUGAAGCUUAGAUAUUGUCUUCUCUGGAUAGCCAACUUCCAAGUCCCAGGCUGGAUCUCACACCCCUCCACUGAACUGUCUUAGUCCUGCAUACACCUGCUUUCAUAGCAUAUGUCACAUGGUCUUGUAAUGGCAACUUUUCCACAAGAUGUGUGCUCUGUGAGGGCAGGAAAGAAGAAGAGAAAAGGGAGUCAGUGAUAUCAACCUCCUCAGCAGACUUUCACUUUUAUCUCAUUGCCCAGACCUACCACAUGGUAGGCACCCUAGCUGCAAGGAAGGCUUGCAAAGUGACGAUUUCACCCUUCCAACUUCUAUAGUGGAAGACACGCAAAGGAGAAGAGUACUGGGAAUGGAAGCAUGGGUUGGCCACCAAGCAGCAUUUGCCACAAAUGACAAAAUAUUUUAAGUUCUUUGAUGUUUUAGCCAUAACAUUAUUUUUAUUUUUUUCUAAAUGGGAAUAUUUUAUUAUUUUUUCCUAACUCUAAAAGCAACGAAGCUUGUUUUAAAAAUUGAAACCUUAUGGGUUAUGGAGUGAGGUUCCUAAAAUCUUUUUCCUUUAGAUAUAAUCUUAUGAACAAUUAAAUCUAUGUAUUAUUUUGGCAUAAAAUAUUUUUUGUCCAAGCAUAAAAAUAUUUUAGACACUUAUUUGUAAAAGUGGGUUAUAUAACAUAUACUGUUUUGUUAUCUACUUGUUUUUUUUUUAACUUAAGACUAGCAUGGCCAUUGUACAUAGUUAUACAAAUAGAGAUGACUUAACCUUUUUUAACAGUGGGAUAAUUUCAGUAUUAGUUAUCUAUUGCUAUAUCAUAAAUUACCACAAACUUAGUGGCUUAUAACAACACAUAUUUAUUAUCUCACAAUUGCUGUGGGCCAGGAAUCUGGGCUUUGCUUAGCUGCAUUCUCUGUUUUAGGGUCUCUCAUUAGACUGAAAAGUGUCUUCCAGGAUUGAGUUAUCUUCUGAAGGCUUGACUGGGGAAGAAAGAAUCUUGCUAUGGUUUGAAUGUCCCCUCCAAAACUCAUGUUGACAUUUAAUUGCCAUUGUGAUGGUAUUAAGAGGUGAGACCGUUAAGAGGUAACUAGGCCAUAAGGACUCUGCCCUCAUAAAUGAAUUAAUGUUAUCAUGAGAGUGUGUUUGUUAUUGCGAAAGUAGGUUAUUGUAAAAGCAAGUUUGGCUCUCUCUUCCUUGCUUGCUCUCCCUCAUGUGUGCCCUCUCACCCUUCUACCUUUUGCCAUGGGGUGAUGUGGGAAGAAGGCCCUUGCGAGUUGCUGGAAAUUUGAUAUUGGAUUUCUCAGCCUCCAGAACUGUGAGAAAUAAAUUUCUUUUCUUUGUAAAAUAU
rnacentral:lncRNA from 10 species